GCCAGAGUGGCAUAGUGGUUUGACUGUUUGACUAUGAUUCUAGAGACCUUGAGUUCAAUUCUCCACUCAGCCA